rnacentral:lncRNA from 1 species
GAAAUAACAGGCACUGAAGAGUGCUCAUUGAAGAGUACUCUUUUCGGUCUCUAAUGAGUGAGAAUCCAUUUUGGAAGUUUCGGUUUUACCGAAUUUGCAUGUAUCUCAUCUUGCAUUUGAGAGUGUGCACCCUGAUGCUGUUGAGAGCCACACCAUCCAAUCACCUGGAAGACCUCUUCUUGGACCACAGAUCACCUAACAUACUAUACCUCUUUGUUCUAAGAAAGAAUGGAAAAAUUAAAGAAGGCUACCGUGGUUUAUUACUCAUGUUUUCUCUGUUAAGCACGGGCUAUGGGAGUCACUGCAUCCACGUUAGGAGGUCUCGGCAUUCUAGAUGCCAUCCAACUGAUAACAAGUCCUGCUGUGUUUUACCAACAUAAAAAAUUAGACUGGAGACCGAGGAGCGGCAGGUGGCUUUUGGCACCAAGAAAUAAUCACACUUGAUGUGGAAAGUAAAGUAAAAGGAGCCAUCUGUUCACUGCAGGAGGACGUGAAAAAUCACAUUAACAUAUUGUCACUAACAUCAUGAAAUACACAGUUAAUAAUAAAUUUAGUUAUCAUGGCAAGUCGUGUUGGAUACUUUCUCUGGAAAUGUAGAAUGUGAAAGAUUCUCUGUCUUGCCCACCACAUCUUUUUUUUUUUUUGAAAAAAAAAAAAAAGAAAAUAGACAUUAAAUCUUUACUUGGGGUGUGUGUAUACGUGACAGAGU